AAGGCCCUAGCUUAAUUAAAGCGUCUGGGUUGCAUUCAGGAGAUGCAAGAUAAUGUCUUGCGGGUCUUA
rnacentral:tRNA from 1 species